rnacentral:lncRNA from 1 species
GGGGGCGACAAGGGUUCUCCACCAAACCCUAGUUUCACACAAAAUUCACAAAAUUGAAGCCCCUAAUUCGCUCUAAAUCAAGUUCUAAACACAAAUUAGUGAUCACCUCGUCGUAGGGAUCAAAAGGCAAAGAGUCCGGAUCGUCAAGCGGACAAGCCGGAGGGAAAACGCGUGGGAAAGGUGUGCUCUAAAGUUUCUAGGUAAUUCAAGUAGGAGGAUGAAGAUCAAGCAAAUGCAUCCGAACCGAACACUCAAAUCAACGCUUCCGCACUUGAUCUAUUUUGUUUUAGGACUAUGUAAACACUUGUAUGGUCUUUAA